GACAGCCAGGAUGUUGGCUUAGAAGCAGCCAUCAUUUAAAGAAAGCGUAAUAGCUCACUGGUCGAGUCGGCCUGCGCGGAAGAUGUAACGGGGCUAAACCAUGCACCGAAGCUGCGGCAGCGACGCUGAUGCGUUGUUGGGUAGGGGAGCGUUCUGUAAGCCUGCGAAGGUGUGCUGUGAGGCAUGCUGGAGGUAUCAGAAGUGCGAAUGCUGACAUAAGUAACGAUAAAGCGGGUGAAAAGCCCGCUCGCCGGAAGACCAAGGGUUCCUGUCCAACGUUAAUCGGGGCA
rnacentral:rRNA from 1 species